rnacentral:rRNA from 1 species
AUUGAACGCUGGCGGCAGGCCUAACACAUGCAAGUCGAACGAGUGGCGGACGGGUGAGUAAUGUCUGGGAAACUGCCUGAUGGAGGGGGAUAACUACUGGAAACGGUAGCUAAUACCGCAUACCAUCGGAUGUGCCCAGAUGGGAUUAGCUAGUAGGUGGGGUAACGGCUCACCUAGGCGCCGAUCCCUAGCUGGUCUGAGAGGAUGACCAUCCAAACUGGAACUGAGACACGGUCCAGACUCAUACGUGAGGCAGUAGUGGUGAAUAUUUGCCAAUGGGCGAAGGCCUGAUGCAGCCAUGCCGCGUGUAUGAAGACGGCCUUCGGGUUGUAAAGUACUCUCAGCGGGGAGGCGUUACCCGCAGAGGAAGCAACAGCUAGCUCCGUGCCAGCAGCCGCGGUAAUUC